UACAAAUGGAGCCAUAUAGAAACGAGC
rnacentral:piRNA from 1 species